rnacentral:rRNA from 1 species
AUAUCACUAAGCGGAGGAAAAGAAACUAACCAGGAUUCCCCUAGUAACGGCGAGUGAAGAGGGAAUAGCCCAGCACCGAAGCCUGUGGCAGUUUUGCUGCAAGGCAAUGUGGUGUUUAGGUCGAUUUAUGGACAUGCCACUCCAUUCGAAGUCCAGCACUGAGUAUGGUUCCAAUGGACUUGGCCCAGAGAGGGUGAAAGGCCCGUGCGGAUGGAGGUAUCAGGUAUGAUGGUGUGUCCCCGAGUUGACCUUGGAGUCGGGUUGUUUGAGAUUGCAGCCCAAAGCGGGUGGUAAACUCCAUCCAAGGCUAAAUACUAGCACGAGUCCGAUAGCGAACAAGUACCGUGAGGGAAAGUUGAAAAGUACUUUGAAGAGAGAGUAAACAGUACGUGAAACCGCCUAGAGGUAAACGGGUGGCGUCAAGCUGCAAGCCCGGAGGAUUCAAUUGGUCAGUGUUUGUGCUCGUGUGCUUGGGCACGCCAGUCAACUUGGAGUCGUCACCAGUAUCGGUGAGCUGGUUGGUUUACGCCUGCCGGUGUUCUGUUGCAUGGUAUGUGGCAGAGGCUGACACCAAGUGUUGUAAUUGGACUGACUGGCCGAUGCACUUCCUCCGUGGUGGACACCACGACCGGCGGAACUGUCA